rnacentral:lncRNA from 1 species
CGGGUGCCACACGUGGAGCAGAAUCCGCUUACCCUUCCGGAGCACAUGAGAUCCAUCCUAGUUUUUGGUGGGGUUCGUGUUGCGUAUUCUUUAGUUUUCUAUGUUGUAUCAUGUGUACUAUUGUUUGUCUGUUUUUUUUUUCUUCUUUUUAGCCAUGACUUUGUCAGUUUAUUUUCGAUUCAUGAGUUUGACUGUCCCUCUGGUAUCUUUCGUCCCUUUUUUAAACAUACCCAUAAGGCAAUCCAUGUCUACGUUACAGACAGUCAAACAUUCCCAACAGGUAAUUCAUGUUUACGUUACAGACAGUCAAAAAUACCAAACAGGUAAUGC